rnacentral:rRNA from 1 species
GUGCCAGCAGCCGCGGUAAUACGUAGGGUGCGAGCGUUGUCCGGAUUUAUUGGGCGUAAAGAGCUUGUAGGCGGCUCGUCACGUCGGGUGUGAAAACUCGCGGCUCAACCGCGAGCCUGCACCCGAUACGGGCGGGCUAGAGUUCGGCAGGGGAGACUGGAAUUCCUGGUGUAGCGGUGGAAUGCGCAGAUAUCAGGAGGAACACCGGUGGCGAAGGCGGGUCUCUGGGCCGAUACUGACGCUGAGAAGCGAAAGCGUGGGGAGCGAACAGGAUUAGAUACCCGCGUAGUCC